GAUAUCAACUGAAAAAGUCAUCAACAACAAAGUUGAAUAACUCAUCAAGAUCUAAAACUUUUAUUUUGGUCAUUUCUUCAUACGACAAAGUGAUAGUAACAUUGUUCACAAAAUUGACAUAUCUCUUAUCUGGUUUUAUAAACUAUAACACAUAUAUGUAAAAUUUAUGAAUAAUAUUAUUAACAUUUCGUCGGAUGAAGAAAUAACAAAAAUAAAAGUUUUAGAUCUUGAUGAGUUAUUCAACUUUGUUGUUGAUGACUUUUUCAAUUGAAAUC
rnacentral:pre_miRNA from 1 species